CCUACGGGUGGCAGCAGUGAGGAAUAUUGGUCAAUGGACGAGAGCCUGAACCAGCCAAGUAGCGUGAAGGAUGACUGCCCUUUGGGUUGUAAACUUCUUUUAUAUGGGAAUAAAAUGUUCCACGUGUGGGAUUUUGUAUGUACCCUAUGAAUAAGGAUCGGCUAACUCCGUGCCAGCAGCCGCGGUAAUACGGAGGAUCCGAGCGUUAUCCGGAUUUAUUGGGUUUAAAGGGAGCGUAGGUGGAUUGUUAAGUCAGUUGUGAAAGUGUGCGGCUCAACCGUAAAAUUGCAGUUGAAACUGGCAGUCUAGAGUACAGUAGAGGUGGGCGGAAUUCGUGGUGUAGCGGUGAAAUGCAUAGAUAUCACGAAGAACUCCGAUUGCGAAGGCAGCACACUGGACUGCAACUGACACUGAGGCUCGAAAGUGUGGGUAUCAAACAGGAUUAGAUACCCCAGUAGUC
rnacentral:rRNA from 1 species